GUGUGUGUGAUUUAUUCCCUCUCCCUUCACUGUUAUAAUGAGUUCCAUUUUUCUCUGAAGGUCUCAGAGAGUCUGUGGAGAUUCAUGAUCAUUCAGCUACAGAUUCAUUAGUGAGAUCACAUCCUGAGGUCUGACGUUCAUUCUGUGUUCAGUGGUCUUGAGGAGAUCAGAGAUCUGUGCAGGACACUCGAGAUCCUCCACGCCAACUUUCACACCAGCAAUCACAUCUUCAUGGAGCUCGUAUGGUGUACAGGAGUCUCGUCAUGCUGGGGAGAGGUAGCUCAGUGAUCAAGAGGUUGGGCUUCUGACUGGAAGGUUGUGAGUUCAAAUCCUAACACUGCUGGGCCUUUGAGCAGGACCUCAAUCAUCAAGGGCUCAUUGUAUGACUGUAAGAUGCUCUGGAUAAUCUCCCAAUGGCAUAAAUUUUCAGCCACUUGAGAUGUUUCCUAACACACCUGAACCUCAACACCUGGAUUCCUGAUCAUUAUGGAGCUCUGAACUUCUGAAUAAAGCACACCCUUAUUUCUGCGAGUGUUUCUGGGUUGUGACGGUGCGUCAGAAAAAAGACUCAGGAGUUAAAAAUGCUUUUUCCACACAUCAGGAACAAAUCUACCAUAAGAAGAACAUACACACAACAGAAACCACUCCAGGAACUACUCCAGGAACUACUCCAGGAACUAAUAAGAAGAACAUUCUAAUGUGGGAGAUGAGUGAUGUGGAAGAGCUGAACAGUUCGUUGCCUUUUGACUUAUUUGUACUGAAGAAAAUGAUGAAUGAAUAUAAAUAUAGUUAUAAAUGUGA